rnacentral:rRNA from 1 species
UACGUAGGGGGCAAGCGUUGUCCGGAUUUAUUGGGCGUAAGGGUGGGCAGGUGGCCGGUGAUGGUGCCGUGUGAAGCGCCGUAGUUAUGACGGCGAGGUCGCGGUAGACACAUCGGCUUGAGGCAGUGAGGGGCGGUGGAAUUCCCGGCUGUAGUGGUGAAAUGCGUGAGAUAGUCGGGAGGAACGCCGGUGGCGAAGGCGGCAGUCCCUGGACCAACACUGACACUGAGGCGCGAAAGCCAGGGGAGCAAA